rnacentral:rRNA from 1 species
GGAGUCUGGGCCGUGUCUCAGUCCCAAUGUGGCCGUUCAUCCUCUCAGACCGGCUACCGAUCGUCGCCUUGGUAGGCCGUUACCCCACCAACCAGCUAAUCGGACGCAGGCCCAUCCCCCGGCGAUAGCUUAUAAAUAAGAGGCCAUCUUUCAAAUACCGUACCAUGCGGCACAGACUUCGUAUCCGGUAUUAGCAGUCCUUUCGGACUGUUGUCCCCAUCUUUACGGCAGGUUGUCUACGCGUUACUCACCCGUUUGCCACUCGGUUCUCAAAAGCAAGCUUUCAAUCACCUCGUUCGACUUGCAUGUGUUAAGCACGCCGCCAGCGUUCGUCCUCGAGCCAUGAUCAAACAACU